CCAAUAGCGUAUAUUAAAGUUGUUGCAGUUAAAAAGCUCGUAGUUGAAUUUCGGGAUCAAUACGUCGGUCGUGCUUUCGGGUACGUACUGGCGUCAUUGGUUUCUCCUUUCUGACGAACCAUGAUGCCAUUAAUUUGGUGUUAUGGGGAGUUAGGACUGUUACUUUGAAAAAAUUAGAGUGUUUAAAGCAGGCAUUAGCUUGAAUACAUUAGCAUGGAAUAAUGAAAUAGGACGUUCGAUCCUAUUUUGUUGGUUUCUAGGAUCAACGUAAUGAUUAAUAGGGAUAGUUGGGGGCAUUAGUAUUCAAUUGUCAGAGGUGAAAUUCUUGGAUUUAUUGAAGACUAACUACUGCGAAAGCAUUUGCCAAGGAUGUUUUCAUUAAUCAAGAACGAAAGUUAGGGGAUCGAAGACGAUCAGAUACCGUCGUAGUCUUAACCAUAAACUAUGCCGACUAGGGAUCGGAUGAUGUUAAUUUUUUAAUGACUCAUUCGGCGCCUUACG
rnacentral:rRNA from 1 species